AGUCUCCUCCUCCACCUUCCCCACCACCUCCCUCACCCUACUACUACAAAUCCCCUCCUCCACCAUCUCCGUCACCACCUCCACCAUACUACUACAAGUCACCACCACCACCUUCCCCAUCUCCUCCACCACCCUACUACUACAAGUCUCCUCCUCCACCUUCCCCACCACCUCCCUCACCCUACUACUACAAAUCCCCUCCUCCACCAUCGCCUUCUCCUCCACCACCUUACUACUACCACUCUCCACCUCCACCGGUAAAGUCUCCACCUCCACCCUAUUACUACAACUCACCUCCUCCACCAGUGAAAUCACCUCCUCCCCCAGUAUACGUUUAUGCUUCUCCACCACCUCCAACUCACUACUAAGUAUUUCCAGGAGCUCAACCAUUCUCCCAAAUCAAUCAAAUUUCAAUUUGAAGCACAAAAUAAAGGAUGGUUUCUUAAGAGAAAGAUUUAAACUUCAAUGGUACAAAUCAAUUAAUUUAUUGAAUGAGAUCUUCUGUGUUACAAUUGGAAGAUUGAUACUUUGUGACAUGGACCAGUUUGCUUCAACUUCUCCUCUGGCCUUCUUGAUCAUUGUUCUCAUUGCUUGUUCAUGGGGGAAAAAGCUUCAAUAACUUAAUUAUUCCUUAAAAUAAGUUAUUAGUUAUUGGUUCUUGAUAUUGUAUAUGAGCUUUGAUGUUUUAUUCAUUUAUCCAUUCAUUUCCUAUUA